CCUCCCCCUAGAGGUGUUGCGGGUGUGGCUGCUGUGUCACCUGCAUAUCAGAAGGUGACAGAGAGGAGAGAGGCUGUGUCUCUGCUCAAGUGUUCUGACCUGUGAACAUCUGAAUGAUUAGUAGUCUAACCCU